rfam:TPA: Bos taurus chromosome 4, whole genome shotgun sequence.
UCCCUGGUGGUCCAGUAGGUAAGACUUCACCUUCCAAUGCAGGGGGUGCAGGUUCAAGCCCUGUUCAGGGAG